rnacentral:rRNA from 1 species
UGGGGAAUAUUGCACAAUGGGCGCAAGCCUGAUGCAGCCAUGCCGCGUGUGUGAAGAAGGCCUUCGGGUUGUAAAGCACUUUCAGCGGGGAGGAAGGCGUUAAGGUUAAUAACCUUGGCGAUUGACGUUACCCGCAGAAGAAGCACCGGCUAACUCCGUGCCAGCAGCCGCGGUAAUACGGAGGGUGCAAGCGUUAAUCGGAAUUACUGGGCGUAAAGCGCACGCAGGCGGUCUGUCAAGUCGGAUGUGAAAUCCCCGGGCUCAACCUGGGAACUGCAUUCGAAACUGGCAGGCUAGAGUCUUGUAGAGGGGGGUAGAAUUCCAGGUGUAGCGGUGAAGUGCGUAGAGAUCAAGAGGAAUACCGGUGGCGAAGGCGGCCCCCUGGACAAAGACUGACGAUCAGGUGCGAAAGCGUGGGGAGCAAACAGG